rnacentral:rRNA from 1 species
UUUUACCUGGNUUGUCCUGCCAGUAGUCAUAUGCUUGUCUCAAAGAUUAAGCCAUGCAUGUGUAAGUACACGCCUUCCUAAAGCGAAACCGCAAACGGCUCAUUAAAUCAGUCAUAAUUCCUUGGAUGGUGGUAUCCGUUACUCGGAUAACCGUGGCAAUUCUAGAGCUAAUACGUGCAAUUGAGCUCCGACCCUUGGCCAACUAGUUUCAUUACGUGAUGGUUCUUGGGGAAGGGCGCAGUUAUUAGAAAUCACAAACCGAGCAAGCUUUCGGGCUUGUCUUUGUAAAGUGAUGACUCUGGAUAACCAGCCGAGCGAUGAGGCCUUCGAGCCGUCGCCGCAUUUUUCGAGUGACUGCCUUAUCAGCUUUCGAUUGUAGGCUAUACGCUUACGAUGGCUGUAACGGGUAACGGGGAAUCAGGGUUCGAUUCCGGAGAGGGAGCCUGAGAAACGGCUACCACAUCUAAGGAAGGCAGCAGGCACGCAAAUUACCCACUCCCGGCUCGGGGAGGUAGUGACGAUAAAUAACGAUGCGGGACUCUUCCGAGGCCUCGCAAUCGGAAUGAGUUCACUCUAAACCUGUGGACGAGGAUCCAUUGGAGGGCAAGUCUGGUGCCAGCAGCCGCGGUAAUUCCAGCUCCAAUAGCGUAUAUUAAAGUUGCUGCGGUUAAAAAGCUCGUAGUUGGACUUUAGGUCUAUACCGGCGGCCCACCUAAGGCGAGGCCCCCAUCUUCCUUAGCCCUUCUCGCGUGAAGGUCGAAUUGAACGGCUCAGAUUUACCGUUAAGCUCGUUUUCGCGUUUUGGAGUUUUCUCCUGCGUGUUUUCGAGUGGUCUUUCUGAAUAGCCCUCAUUUUGACUGCGGGUAAGUGUCUUUGGUCAGAAGCGGGAUAAGUCUCGCCCGGUGGUCAAACUGUCCGGAUACGGAUUUAUAAAAAAACCGUCGGCUUGCACGGGGUGCUCUUUACCGAGUGUCUCGCGUGGCCGACGACGUUCACUUUGAAAAAAUUAGAGUGCUCAAAGCAGGCUAAAAUCUCUGCCUGAAUGUCGAUGCAUGGAAUGAUGGAAUAGGACCUCGGUUCAGCUGUCUUUCACUCGGUUUUUCCCGAACCCGAGGUAAUGAUUAAAGGAAACGGACGGGGGCAUUAGUAUUGCGACGCUAGAGGUGAAAUUCUUGGACCGUCGCAAGACUAACUACUGCGAAAGCAUUUGCCAAGCACGUCUUCAUUAAUCAAGAACGAAAGUUAGAGGAUCGAAGGCGAUCAGAUACCGCCCUAGUUCUAACCUUAAACGAUGCUAACUAGCGAUCCGCUUAUGUCAUUCCCACGACUGAGCGGGCAGCCCCCGGGAAACCCAAGUUUUUGAGUUCCGGGGGAAGUAUGGUUGCAAAGCUGAAACUUAAAGGAAUUGACGGAAGGGCACCACCAGGAGUGGAGCCUGCGGCUUAAUUUGACUCAACACGGGGAACCUCACCAGGCCCAGACACUGGAAGGAUUGACAGAUUGAGAGCUCUUUCUCGAUUCGGUGGUUGGUGGUGCAUGGCCGUUCUUAGUUGGUGGAGCGAUCUGUCUGGUUGAUUCCGAUAACGAACGAGACUCUACCCUACUAACUAGUCGGUGGAUCGUUUCCCGAGACGGGUACUCUUCCGGGGGGUUUCGGGGUCGUUGGUGUUGGUAUCGUUUGACGCCCUCGCUUAAUUCGUAUCCGUUGUUCGCUGCUGAGAUAAGGGGGGGUGAAAGCCUCCUCUUUCCCUCGGCCUCCUUAUUGGAAACUUCGGAGCGUGUUUAGCGGGUAAGCGUUGUGCGGUGCUGCAUCUUCUGGCUACCGAAUACGUCCCCCCCGGAGGGUCCCAACGAGGGGCGUCCAUCGCAACUUCUUCUUAGAGGGAUUAGCGGUGUUUAGCCGUACGAGAAAGAGCAAUAACAGGUCUGUGAUGCCCUUAGAUGUUCUGGGCCGCACGCGCGCUACAAUGCAGGGAUCAGCGUGCUCUCCCCCUCCGAAAGGAGUGGGUAACCCAAUGAAACCCCUUCCCGAUUGGGAUUGGGGAUUGUAAGUGUUUCCCAUGAACGAGGAAUUCCCAGUAAGCGUAAGUCAUCAGCUUGCGAUGAUUACGUCCCUGCCCUUUGUACACACCGCCCGUCGCUACUACCGAUUGAAUGAUUCAGUGAGGGCGUCGGACUGGCGCCCUUGGCAGCCCCUCGGUUCGCUCGUUCUCCAAGUGAGGCGGCGGCUGAACGGGCGCCCCGGGCCAGCCGGAAAGACGUCCGAACUUGAUCAUUUUAGAGGAAGUAAAAGUCGUAACAAGGUAUCCGUAGGUGAAACUGC